UACAGAGGGUGCAAGCGUUGUUCGGAAUUAUUGGGCGUAAAGGGCGCGUAGGCGGUGCUGUAAGUCUGUAGUGAAAUCUCUGGGCUCAACUCAGAGUCUGCUAUAGAAACUGCAGUGCUGGAGUGUGGGAGAGGUGAGUGGAAUUCCCGGUGUAGCGGUGAAAUGCGUAGAUAUCGGGAGGACACCUGUGGCGAAAGCGGCUCACUGGACCACAACUGACGCUGAGGCGCGAAAAGCGUGGGUAGCAAACAGG
rnacentral:rRNA from 1 species